UUUCAGGUGGGUUUGCCAUUAGCAAAUGUUCUGUGCCCAAAGAUUACAUCACAUCACUAAGCUCACUUACCCAUAGCAGGUGACACAAGCCAAAGAAGAAAGAAAAUUGCUUGUUUGAGAGUGAGAAAGAGAAGUCGUGAGUGAGAGGAGAGGGGGAGAGGUCAUCAGUGAGAGGAGAGCUUUCACAUUCAGUAUGGAGGAGCCAGGAUUUCUCAGAUGACUCUGAAGCAGAUCUAACAGAUGUUGAUGAGAAAGCGACUGAGAGGAAGAACUUGGAUCCAAGUGGAUUAUUCAUGGAGUAUUCUCAAUGCAUAAAGCGGUGCCAGAAUGAACGAUGACUGAAGAAGUUCUGAAUGCACAGUUCUGAAUGCACCACUCAUUUCUCACAGUGAGUGGUGGAUGUUGGUAACCCACACAGGACUGUAAGCAGCAACUGGAAAGCCUGGCUGAGUGAUGAGAAUUAAAGAACAAGCUGAUGUUCAGUCACUGUGGUAUUUAUUGCAGCAAACUACAUCUUAAAAUUACUGGUUAUCUUGGAAAUGGCUGCGGACUAGUCAGGCUGUAAAACUGUCAGUUUUACUACGAUAUGGGCACUGAAUUCAUGAUUGUUUUCAGUGAUGUGAGAAAAAUAGAAGACAGUCAUCAAAAGUGUCUUCAAAAGGAAAUGAGCCAGCUAUCAUGUUGAAAAUGGCUGUUUUGUCUCUUUGAAUUCUGUCUGAGAAACAAGCUUUCAUACUGAUUUCAGGUUUGAAGGCACAGGUGAUUUAUGGCUGUCAAGAUUACCCUAAUUACCUGAGUUGUUCAUGUGUCUCAGUGAAUGGACUGCCAGUUUACAGGUGUGCUCAGUGUGGAGAAGACCCUGAAGGACACCUAUGUGAGAUGAGACUUAAGCAAAACAUUCUGAAAUCAGAGUAAAGAAAAACUGAAAACAUUUUUUAAAGUACUUAGAGAUUCAGGUAAUC
rnacentral:lncRNA from 1 species